AAAUUGAAGAGUUUGAUCAUGGCUCAGAUUGAACGCUGGCGGCAGGCCUAACACAUGCAAGUCGAACGGUAACAGGAAGAAGCUUGCUUCUUUGCUGACGAGUGGCGGACGGGUGAGUAAUGUCUGGGAAACUGCCUGAUGGAGGGGGAUAACUACUGGAAACGGUAGCUAAUACCGCAUAACGUCGCAAGACCAAAGAGGGGGACCUUCGGGCCUCUUGCCAUCGGAUGUGCCCAGAUGGGAUUAGCUUGUUGGUGGGGUAACGGCUCACCAAGGCGACGAUCCCUAGCUGGUCUGAGAGGAUGACCAGCCACACUGGAACUGAGACACGGUCCAGACUCCUACGGGAGGCAGCAGUGGGGAAUAUUGCACAAUGGGCGCAAGCCUGAUGCAGCCAUGCCGCGUGUAUGAAGAAGGCCUUCGGGUUGUAAAGUACUUUCAGCGGGGAGGAAG
rnacentral:rRNA from 1 species